GCCGCUUUAGCUCAGUGGUAGAGCGCAGGACUUUUGAUCCUGUGGUCACGGGUUCGAUCCCCGUAGGCGGUU